GACGUAGGGCGCGAGCGUUGUCCGGAUUUAUUGGGCGUAAAGAGCUCGUAGGCGGCUUGUUACGUCGACUGUGAAAACCCGCGGCUCAACCGUGUGGCUUGCAGUCGAUACGGGCAGGCUAGAGUUCGGUAGGGGAGACUGGAAUUCCUGGUGUAGCGGUGAAAUGCGCAGAUAUCAGGAGGAACACCGGUGGCGAAGGCGGGUCUCUGGGCCGAUACUGACGCUGAGGAGCGAAAGUGUGGGGAGCGAACAGG
rnacentral:rRNA from 1 species